rnacentral:rRNA from 1 species
AUUGAACGCUGGCGGCAUGCCUUACACAUGCAAGUCGAACGGUAACGGGCCUUCGGGUGCCGACGAGUGGCGAACGGGUGAGUAAUACAUCGGAACGUGCCCGAUCGUGGGGGAUAACGAGGCGAAAGCUUUGCUAAUACCGCAUACGAUCUACGGAUGAAAGCAGGGGACCGCAAGGCCUUGCGCGGACGGAGCGGCCGAUGGCAGAUUAGGUAGUUGGUGGGAUAAAAGCUUACCAAGCCGACGAUCUGUAGCUGGCCUGAGAGGAUGAUCAGCCACACUGGGACUGAGACACGGCCCAGACUCCUACGGGAGGCAGCAGUGGGGAAUUUUGGACAAUGGGCGCAAGCCUGAUCCAGCCAUGCCGCGUGCAGGAUGAAGGCCUUCGGGCUGUAAACUGCUUUUGUACGGAACGAAAAGCCUUCUUUUAAUACAGGAGGGUCAUGACGGUACCGUAAGAAUAAGCACCGGCUAACUACGUG